AGAGACACCAACUGUCUGUCACCUCACUAGCGAACUCGCCUUGCAAAGCCGGCUUGGCCAUCCCAGCUCCUCAGCCUGGCAGGACAGUGCUCGGCAGAUCCUGAGCGUUCAGUCCACGGCAGCAGACGCUGUUGUAGCACCAACACAAGCUAAGAAAUCAGCAGCUCCUUGCUCUCCUUGGCCAGAUAAACGUUUAUAAUGCUGCUGAUACCCUGAGUUAACCCUGUCUCAGGCUAACUGGGGCUGCAGCCGUGUGGUUUGACAUUUCUCUGUGCUUGAUCUGAAUGCAGAGCAUGAGGAGAAAAAUCCGCCCCCUGUGUUAGAUAAUGAAAGUUUUGGCUUCUGUUGGGCCUAACUUUCACCCAUCAUCGUAAAAUUUCACAAGAAUGACAUUUGUACAGUUAUUUUUACUAGCUUUUUUUAGCCAAUUCUCUUUUCUACUGGUAGGAAUUAGUUCUGACUCUUUCUGGUCAUUGCGACCUUGCUUCCCAGGGAAGUGCUAAUUUUGUUCCACCGUCAAAUUGAUUACAAAUAGGAGAUAGUGCAGAGAUUUAAUUAGGGCAUGGAUGUACAGUAUGGAUUCUCGAGCAACAGUUGGUAACACCGCAUUCAGCUUUUUCAUUGGGCGUUUAGUUAGUAUUUAGAAAUAAAAGGAAGAACAAAACCCUUGCAUUUCACAGACCAUUGAUUAUUCUUGUUAUUAUUUCCAUGUCUUCUUCUGCCCACUGCAAGUCAAGGAUAAUUGGUAGAAAAAAAAUCUGUCCCAUUCUGUUAGAAAUCUGUUUCACAGUGAUGUUCAGCAAACCAGCUGUUGGUCCAGUUACCAAACCCCACCUUUCUUCAGGUCAUUUAAAAGGGGAAAGCUGUUGUUUUCUGUCAAGACUUGUGAUUAGUAAAAUGAAAGGUGCCCUUCUCUAUUUUUUAUUCUUUCCAAGUGUAUUCCAAAGUUAUGCUUGUGCUUUCCAGGGGGAACAAGUAAGCUCCAUUCUGUGAAGUGGGAUAUGUAAGAAUUUUUAAAAGAAAAUUAAUAUAGAAACACACAGGUAAUUUGAGCUUUAUUGUGCUGUUCCUUAUUCUCCCCAUACACUGCAGACAGCUGAAAGUCCUGUAUUUCCAGCAAUCCUAAAAUUAACUCCAGUGUUUCUGCAGUUCUAAAAAGGCAGGAGGGGACGACGUUUGUUUUCCCUCUUGUGUCACACUGGUGACUGAAGCGGAUCUGGAGGGCUUGGCAGUGGGUGGGGUGAACCGUUACAUAUUUUCUGUGUCUGACGCGCAGGCUGCUCGGCGUCUGUCCUCUCUCUGGUCAGCGGCAAAAGCUCCUAACGAGUAGAUGGUCCUGACGAUUAAAGCUGAGGUAGAGUAGUUUGACUGCAGGGAUUUCCUGUGCCACAGUGCAGGCUGGGGAUCCUUUAUGGCCAGAGGCUUCUGACCAUGUCUGCGGCCGAGGAGGAGGCAUCUUCCCCAUUCUUCAGCUGGUUUUGAGACUAAUAUAUUCACUCUCUGAUGUUUAAGCAACUUCUGAAGGAUGCAGACACAGGCAUUGAGUGCUGUCUUGCUAACAAGGAGCAGACUUCUCAAAAGCCUGUGGAGGAGACGUAGGAUCUUCAAGCAAAUUCUGGCAGCUGGAGUUUCCUGGUAACAGAUAAAAUUACUUGACCACCAUGAGUUGGAGUUUUCUGACCCGUCUGUUAGAGGAGAUCCACAAUCACUCAACCUUUGUUGGCAAAAUCUGGCUGACAGCGUUGAUUGUAUUUCGGAUUGUCCUAACUGCUGUGGGAGGAGAAUCCAUUUAUUACGAUGAACAAAGCAAGUUUGUGUGCAACACAGAGCAGCCUGGCUGCGAGAAUGUUUGUUACGAUGCUUUCGCUCCUCUUUCGCACGUGAGGUUUUGGGUCUUUCAGAUCAUUCUUGUUGCCACUCCAUCUGUGAUGUACUUAGGCUAUGCAAUUCAUAAAAUUGCCCGGAUGGUAGAACACAGCGAAGCUGACAGAAGAAUCAGAAGCAAAAGCUUUUCCAUGCGCUGGAAACAACACCGUGGCUUAGAGGAAACUGAGGAUGACCAUGAGGAAGACCCGAUGAUGUACCCAGAAAUAGAGCUGGAAAGCGAACGGGAGAAUAAAGAGCAGCAGGCCCCUGCCAAAGCUAAGCAUGAUGGCAGGCGGCGAAUCCGUGAAGAUGGACUCAUGAAAAUUUAUGUCCUGCAGCUUCUGGCGAGGACUACGUUUGAAAUUGGCUUUCUCGUGGGUCAGUAUUUUUUGUAUGGCUUUGAGGUCAGCCCCAUAUUUGUGUGCAGCAGGAAGCCCUGCCCACACAAGAUAGAUUGCUUCAUUUCAAGGCCAACCGAAAAGACCAUUUUCCUGCUAAUAAUGUACGGGGUGAGCUGCAUGUGUUUACUUUUGAAUGUCUGGGAGAUGCUCCAUUUGGGAUUUGGCACAAUCCGGGACACGUUGAACAACAAGAGAAAAGAGCUGGAAGACUCUGGUACUUACAACUACCCUUUCACUUGGAAUACGCCAUCUGCUCCUCCUGGCUAUAACAUUGCCGUCAAGCCAGAGCAAAUCCAAUAUACUGAACUGUCCAACGCCAAAAUGGCCUACAAACAGAACAAAGCCAAUAUAGCUCAGGAACAGCAGUAUGGAAGCAACGAAGAAAACAUUCCUGCAGACCUGGAAAAUCUGCAGAGGGAAAUUAAAGUGGCUCAGGAACGCCUGGACCUCGCGAUCCAGGCUUACAACAACCAAAACAAUCCCGGCAGUUCCAGAGAGAAGAAAUCCAAAGCAGGCUCAAACAAAAGCAGUGCCAGUAGCAAGUCAGGAGAUGGGAAGAACUCUGUCUGGAUUUAAUGUUGGCUGAGUUUAUAUAUUGUGUUUUUUUCUCCUAGUUUAUCAUAACCAGCAACCCCUUGAAUAAUGGCUUCCAUUAAGUAAAUAUUUGACUGCUUAUUUUCAGGGAUACCGUUGGCUAGUGAUUCAACCUCUCAGAAAGGCUUUAUACGCAUAUUCUAGGAUUAUAGAACUUUAUUCUUCUGUCUUCCAAGUCAGGAGACAAAUAGAUAUAUUUAAAUCAUUCUCAUUGAACGGUUUAUGCUGUAUGUACAGUAUUGUAGUACAUUUAUUAUGCACAAUUUUUUUGUAUUUGUACACUGGAUCUCUGACAUUACACUUUUUUAUAUUAAUGAGGAGAAAGCAAUGGGUAGCUGUUAGCAUUUUGCUAGUUUUAUUACCGUGGUCUGCAGUUUGUCGUUGUUCUUCCUUGUUUUAAAAGUAAAACUUUCUAUGCUGCGUUUCAAAAGUGCCUUGCACAUGCAGACAGCACAGAGGAGUCUCCGGUUAUCCAGGCAGCCCACGGGUGCCAGUCACUGAGCAGCAAGCAGUGAAAGAUUGGAAAACAUCUGUUAAUGGUGCUCUUGACUCUGUCCUUUACAAAAAUGAUGUGCUACUUAUAAAAUGGAAGUGUCAUACUAUAGCUACUAUGUACUACAGUUUUCUUCGCCCUGUGGAAAAUUACUUUCAGCAAAAAUGUACGUGUGUGAGAGUACUUGUGUUCAGAGUAAGAGUGCCAGCCGUAACCCAGAGAGGGCUCAGACCUCCCUGCAAGCUUUAUGCAACAGGAGGCAAGAGAGACUUCAAACUCCUGUAAACCAUCAAAAAAAAAGUAAAUAGAAAUUACUGGAUUCAGUAAUCCCACAUGUUUAUGUGAUAUCUAUGGAAAGAGAUGUUUUUGAGGUCUGUUGUUACAUAACGCCCCGCUCCCCAAGGGCAUGAGUUGUUACGAUACCUUUUGGAAAAGAUUUCUGUCUUUUCCAAAGUAAUCUGGUUAGAUGGAGUCAUGGUAAUUUUGUUUCUCCGUGCAUUACACUCAAGGAAUAACAUUCCUCUCCCCCCAGCCAGGACACAUGAGCUGUCUGUAAGAGUUUUUACAAAGCCCUUUCCGAAUAUCAAUGAUAUUGCCUUAUUCCAGACCCCUCUUCCUUCCAUUAUGUCCGAGGAAUUUAGUUCAGACAGAGCAAUGUGUAUAAUUUAGAUUUCUGCUUGAGAGACCAGUCAGAUUUGGCAUUCUGUGGUUUUGGCACUAAACUUGAAUUUAUAAUUAGAAAACAGAGAAUGCGGUACUUACUGCCUUUGGCGGUGUCUUUUUGGCAAGGAUGCGCAUUAAUGUUUGAGAGAUGCUGAUAAAUGUGUAUGCUUUUUGCUACUAUUUAUAAUGUAUUCAGGACCUUGCUCCACUCCCUUUAGUUAGGUUUUCGUGCAUUUUAAUAUAUUUUGGGGGCCUGUUUCAAGCGGGACUGUUCUGUUUUGAGGCUACCUCAGUCCUUAGUGCCCUCGUUACAGCCUGGUCAGGAACAGGAUUGAGAAGAAAGGCUCUGUGGAGGAUACAGGUGAACCCAUACUCCAUUGCUGUCCCGCAGAACAUCUAAGCAUAGGCUUUAUGUUAUUUUAAACUAAGGGGAUACAAGCACAUGCUUGCAGUUAUCCUCUACCCAGGCACUUGCUGAAAAUAGGUAUUUUGCUGAAUUGUUUUCAGUCUGUUUUCACUCUGGGACACCAGGCAGUCCAGGCAUAGAUCCCAGCUGUCUCUCAGCUCUGUAUUAGAGAGGCAUAAGUGCGCCCAGAGCCAAUGCAACCCUCUGCGUGAGGUCAGCGAGAGUUUUUCCUCUUCACCUCCAGCAGAGACGUUGGGAAGCGAACUUGCUUUCUGGCUUUUUGUUUAGCAGUAACUCCUGGCCGCUACUCUGGGAAAGGAGCAACCUCUGAAUUUUAUGCAGAAAAGUUUCAGGGUGAUGUCUUUAAGCGAGUAUAAGUAACACAGUAAGUACAUAGCAGUUUUUAAAAGCCUGAGUGGGCUUGCGGGCAGGGACAGCUAGCCAGUGAGAUGGGACUAGCUGUGUGGGGUGAGAGGGAGUUUAUUAAUAACGCUUCCUCUAAUCAAACAGGAGUCUGAAGAGAAGCACGCUGCCUGAAGAUGGGCAGAGAGGCUUUGCCAGCAGAAAGCUGGGAGUGUGGUGGAGAAGCUGGGUGGAAAACAUGUUGUCUGAAAGUACCAGGGAAAGACAUUUGGAGCCUGGAGAUAAACACCAAUGCCUGGCUACAAUCCACUCAUUAUCCCGGACACUGGGGUGGUUCUUUUCAGCUUCCCAAAAGGGUUAGGUUGCUCUUAACCCCUUGGGGUGGUUUCGGAACAGCCUUUCACCAGCCAAAUGGCAAGAAGUGAAAAUCGUUUCCUCUUGCUGCUCUCUAUGCAAACUGCAGCAAUUUCUUAUUAAUGGCUUAAAAUAAAAUCGGUUCAUGACAGCUGCUUCACCUAUUGUUUGUAUUAGCCCUUUCCCAAUUAAUGUUCUAAACCAUUACCUGCUUAAAGCUACUGUCUCAGGUCAGUCCUGUGAGCUUUUGUCCACACCAGUAAAUACUCCCGUUAGUGAGCAGAGUGUAUAGAAUAUUCCAAUCCCAGCACUGAAUUCAUACCGAAAAUGCAAAGUAAUGGAGCUGUUUCUGUUACUGUUUUUUUGUUUUCAUUUUAAUUGUGUAUAAAGUGCACAUUUUCUUUGAAACUGAGUGUUUGUUAUUAGUAGAGGAUGUCUGUUAAAGCUCUAAAUGUUCAUGUCUGUGACUGUAUUCAGUUUCAAAGUAUCUGGUUUGAUUUUUCCUUUUGAAGAAAUGAUACAUGCAUUACUUUAAAAUGCUCUCUUGCUUUGGCUUAAUGUAGGCCAUUCUGAAAUAAAUGUUCAGAAGAGACUUUUGGACAAAAAAUACUGAACAUAACUUGGGUUUGUCCUGUCAUUCUCUGGUUUUGGAUGCAGUUUGGAAAAAAAAAAAAAUCUAUUAAAUCCAGUGGAUUACUCCAGUCUGAGUGAUAUGGCUUCUUUUUUCCAGCAAUAGUAUAUCUUCCAAAUAUGUGAGUGAGGGAGAGGGGUAUUUUAAUGAUUUGUCGUAGAGCCACAACUUGGAAUUUUUAUAUAUUUGACCUUGUUUAGUGUAAUAAGAGUCAGUUAGAAACUAACUGUGCCUUUCUGCAUGUGAAUUGCUCUUCAGUGACAAGAACAGUUGCAUUAAAAAAAGAAAAAUCUAGAAACUUUGCAAGUCAGACCUUGAGAAGGGUACCACUUAUGAAAACAUGAAAAUCUGCAUUUGUGCAUAUGAAUGAGCAUGCUGAUAUUGUCCAGUGAACUGUGCAGCAUUAGCUGGCCUAAUUUAGCUGCAAUUUUUGAAGGAACAUACGGGAGCUGGCUGCCCAGCUCCUUUUAAAAAUUGCAGCUGAAUGCCCGUCUGUGUUGCCAUCACAAAAGAUGGCUUUGGUAAGUGUCCCAUGCUUUCCCCUCACUGCAAGUUUGACCUCAAAAUUGGAAGUAUGUCUAAGGAGGUAUUAAGUGGUGUGUCGUGCCGUGCUGCUGCGAGAAAUGUAGAAGUGAGAUGGAUUUGGUGGUGCGGGCUUGGAAUAAAAAGCUGUUUGUUCAGAGUUAAAGAAAAAAGCAGCCAUAUAGAUGAGGACAGCGCUGCGCCAGCUUCCAGAGCACAUUGUGUCCCCAGCCUCAGCGAGGACUGUAAUGGCAGAAAUCGGUGAUGGUGACCGAGGCAGGAUCCAGCAGUGAUAAUUGUGCGUGUUUUUGAAACCAUCAGGUUACCUGAGCAUCCCGCGGUCUCCACAGACUGGGAAAUGCCCGCGGAGCGGGGAACAGUCCAGACGCAGCCGCCACCUCCGUCCCCAGGCAGGGUAAUGCCGGCUUGAUCUGUGCGGCAGGGGUUCAAGUGCACGGAUAACCGAGGAGGUACAGCAGGGCCUGGGCUCCUGCUGCGUUGCCUCUGCUGCUCCAGAAGGACACUUAACCUCGCCGUUAUCUUUAAGCAUGUGAUUAUCUCCGUAUGAGUCAAUGCAGCCAGCUACAGGCAUCCAGCUAAGCAUGUGCUUAAGUGUUUUAAAGUGUAGAAGCCUUCAUUUAACAACGAAUUUGCAGCAAGACAUUCUGAAAUGCUUCAGGCGUUUAACCAUAACUGAAAAAGGAGGGUACGGUUGCAGCGCUCUUUGCUUGUGAUACGUUUCUUGGGAACUCGUCUAAUAGAAGCCAUCAUGUGAUGGCUGUGUUUGAUCUUGUGCUCAGAAACAGGCCGGGAGCAGAAAACCCCGAGGUCAAAGCUGGGAUUGUAUGCAGUCACCCCAGGCUUGCUUCAGUUGCUCCGUGCAGAUGCACAGUGCUGUUUGAGAUGCCCCUGGGUGUUUUGCAUGGCCUCCAGCUGCUGCUCCGAGAGGACGCGUCUCCCAGGGGUCCUGUGUCACAUCUGCCAGCCCUGCGCGGAUGCCUUGGGUGCUCGAGGGCCUCUCCGACAGCGCCACGCGCCUGAUCCCAGACGUGAUCCCAGCUGAUCCUUUGUGUCGCUGGGCAGCCCAGCUGACAGCUCCACCUCGUUUUCCUCUGCUAUAAAGGGAGGAUAACGCGGUUUAUUUCAUACCGGGUAUUGCAAGUAUAAAUUAGAUCCUCGCUGUGGAGUAAUUUUCCUGUUGGAAGCAUAGGUUAGCGGUUUAAUGUUGUUAGCAUUAAGUGUUCCUGCCUAUAGUUUAGUCACAAUCUUGUAGCGACUACGCUGUUCUUCUUGUAGCUUCAUUUGUUAAUAAAUCAAGAAUUCUCGAUACCGGGCGCAUAACUUCCCAGCUAUGAGGGUACUUUCAGAAUGAGCUCUUUAUUGAGAUGCGCACGGUUGCUCUUGGGGCAUUUAUGGUGUGCCUAAUUCCUGUGAAUCAGAUGUGCUAUGCUUUGCACAUUGUGCAGUUACUGUGAAACAGUUCCUGAAAGACAGAUCUCGUUGCGCGAGUUAAAUUAUGGUUUGCUGUUAACGGUGUAACUAGAUGUAACCCACCUUUCUACAGCAGCAUCGAAAGGAGCUCGGGGGCUUCCGCUACUUCAGGGCUUGCCAUUCAUUUUCUCUAUAUCAGAGGAGACUUCAAAUAUCAGUUCAUCAUCGCUUGGAUAAUGACAUUUUGUUUUCUACAGCAUGACAUUAUCGUUGUCGUGUAAAUUCCGUGUUGAUAGCUGGGGAAAAAUGCCUUAGAAGGGGGAUUUAAAGGCAUGUGAUUGAUGCUCAUUGGUGCUAUGGACUAGUUUCUAUACAGUUCAGAUUUUGCUGUCCUCCUUUUUAUUUUUUUUAUUGAACGGGAUAUUCUGGUUACUCUUUGACAAAGGACAUGUCGCCUGUUUGUGGACCCCAGCCUGCAGCUUCCCCAGGAGCAGAACUGAGGCCCCUGCGGCUGCAUCCAAAUGCAGCGUCAUGCCCCAGGAGUUUUACACAUGACCGUUGUUCAGGGCUGUGACUUCUGCUGCCUCGUGGCCUGGAUUUCCUCUGCGUGGAAGCGAAGUCUGUCCGAGCAGGAGCACGAGCUGCGCACCUGCUUCCUCCUUAGAGACGGCCACGGCGUGUGCUUGAGCCCAAGUGCAGGCGGGGGGCUGAGUUUGUGGCUUAGCGCGAUGCAGACCUCUGUAUCGUCUGUAACAGGCUUUGCCAGGAGAUUAGUCUCGGUAUUCAGAUGGAAGUUAGGCAAUCUCUGGCGAUGAAUGAAAUUUCUUAAGUCAGCAAACAAGUGGUGAUAUAUUUUAGUGUUGUUGUGAGUAUUGGAAAGCAUCAUGCCAACUUCUCAGCUUUCAUCUUGCCCUUGUUUAAAGACAUAUUGUGACUUAAGUGAGGUAUUUUUUCCCCUCUGAGUAUUUCUUACCCUAGAAAAUCAAUAAUCCCAUUUAUGAAUGUUUGCCAGGCUUUUUAUAUCUUUUUCCAUAAACUUGAAAUCACCUGAAAAUCCACUAUCAGAAAACUUUUUAAAAAGCCCAUUCUGUUCGGAAAAUGUUUUUGGUAACACAUUUAUAUUAGCAGGUGUCGGUAUGUACAUGUGCAUCAGUAGUUUUGGAGCUAUCUCAUCAUUUUUGGCUCUUAUUCCCCCUGACUUUUUGUGCAGGGAAGAAGGUGAGGAGAUUUGACCCAUGAUACCUGAAUGUGAUGACUCCAAGCUCUGAAACAAAACUUGCUUCUCGCUCUCUCGCUUUAUAUUGCUGAUCGCAAUAUUUCAUUUUUUCCUCUGAAGCUAAUAUUACAGUCUUGAGUGAUUCAUUGCUGCAUAUAUUCUUAUGUCAUAUACAAAAAAAUGAAGACUUAAUGCAUUGUAGAGCUCCUUUGCUUGUUUGUGUUAUAUCCUUUGAGUGUUUGCAUUAAUUGGAAUUACACCAGAGACCACAGUAAGUCCCACGGGUGUGUAGUGGUGAAAAAUGCUGCGAAAGUAUGAAGUUACAAAGUUUGUGGGUUGUCUGUGGUUUUUAAUGGAUGGAAGAGACACCCUGAAAGCGCCGUACCCGCUGCUCGGGUCAGCUUCAUCCAGAGUACCUGCCUGGAGGAGGACGAGGAGCACUGGGACAGGAAUCAACUUUCCUGGAGCUGGCUCAGCAAAGCACCGCAUUUCAUUAAUUGGUUCCAGCGCUAAUUGAAGGCUGGUGGUCUGUUCGCAGGUAUGUUGGACGUUUUAUACACUCUACAGCCUCCGUAAGAGGUCCAGCCCUUUGGAAGGAGCUGGUUUCCGUUGAGCUGAGAGUGACCCUCCAGCCCAGACAGAGCCCUUUAUCUGACAUGUAAAGCAUGAAUCAGAAAAUGUGGCUAAUUAGUCAACCGUAUUUGGUAAUAAACUUGUUAACAUUUCAAAAGGUCUUUGAGGGAGCUGUUGAAAAGUCAGUUUGAUUACAUCAGCUGCAUGCUGAAUUUCUACAGGCUUGUAGCUGGAACGCGCUCACUGUGAGAGAUGAAGACAUAGGUUCCCUGGGAGUAUAUUUUUUAUAUUCUCCAUGAGAAAAUAGAUAACAGCUCAUAUCAACACAUGCCACUGUAAAUGCUCUUAAAAUGAGGUGGAAAGAGAGACAUGGAAAUGUGCAGCGAGGAUCUCUGAAAAUUAAGGCUGGCUGGAUCAAUCUGGUAAAUUUUGUGAUGAGAUACAUGAUUCAGAGAAGAAAAGUGAUAAAUGUGAAUGUUCUGGACAUCAGUCACUGCCUUGUUGUGAUGCCGCAUAAGAAAUUGUUUGGCCAGAUAAGAUGGGUUAUUCUCAAAAGCCAAGUAAAGUGCACAAGAGCAGUGCCAUAGGUGAUGGGAGCACAGGAGGGAGAAUAGGGAAUCACCAGUCUGGAGAGCUGAAGGAACUGUGCUCUUGGUCUUCAAGCCAAGAUAUUUUGAUAUCUUGGUCUAAAUUUUUGAUUUUUUGAUAUUUUCAUUGAUUUUUUUUUUUCUCCCACAAAUUUCAAAUGUACAAAUGGAAUUUGCAGGUAGCAUGGCACUGAGAGGUGUUUUGUAAAGACGGUGAAAGUUUGGAGACAGGAACUGCUGUUACCAGUGCUAUGGACCAGUGUAUGGACCUGGGUGUGCAGUAUUCCCCCUCUGAAAGCAAAACUGCUUUUCAGCAUGGAAAUGUGAGCAUUUGCCCCAUUUAUUAACAUCUCUCUUCAGCUCUCCUGCAGAUGCUUGUUGACUUCAAGCAAAUUAAAGAGGAGUUCAGGACAUUUCCAGUCACAUAAAAAGGUAGUGGCAAGAAGUGCUUCUGUUGAAAAUGGGCAGGGGUCAACAAGAUGCGGGUCCCGGUGUGCUGUGCCCUGUGCAGAGGCAGGUGACGGCCGGCGAGUGUGCAACGGAGAGUUCGGCGGCUGCCAUCUAUCUCUGCUCUGACUGCGCUGACAAGCUCAGCCUGCCCAGCUCCUCCCAGUCCACCCGAAGCUCGGGUUGCCUCUGCUGCAGAUGCGUUGUGCUCAGUAAACCCUCGGCGGCUGGAAACGCCGAUGCUCCCCUUCCCCCUGAUGUGCCUGGUUUCUGAUCAGCGUGCUGGAGUGCCAUUUGGACUGACAGUGUUGUGUAAGAAAGACGUGCGGAGCUGAGGCUGCUCAGCCUCAGAGAUGUUUGCCGCUUUUCCCUGAACUACUUCUUUUCUGUGCACUGAUUUGUUUCUUGUUUCCAGCUGGAGCCUAAAUAGCAAAAUUCCCAUAGCGGGCGAGACAGAGCUGGGAUCUGCUUUUACUUGAAGUGUGCAUACUCCUUGUGACCGUUUCUCAGCUGUUUGCCUGCAGAGUUUCUCCACGGGGACAAAAAGACCUCAGUUUCCCACCAGGAACAGAAGGUGACACGGCCAAAAGAAGUCAUGCUGUCUUCCAGCAUCAUCACUGGAGUAGAAAGUGCCUGUUGCUCGAGGGUGUGGGUGCGUGACCGAAGUGCUUCAAACAGGGAAGGGACAGACGGACAGCUUCUGUGUCGUGUGGUUGUGUCAGCCUUCGGAGGGUUUCCCAGCUGGAAAACCUGUGUUCUGGUUUGUGGUUGGAGUUCAGUUCGGGUUCUUCAUUUAUUUGCAUGGAAAAUGAGGACCUGGUUCUUCCAGCUGCAUUCUGAAGCUCAUGUUUGGGGUGUUACUUUCUCUCACCUGUGAUUUAUCCCCCCAAAAAAACUCCCUUCAGGAUGACAUUUCCCCAUUUCACUUCACACGGCAGCAUUGCCUCCUGACCAUCUGACACCUCCCCCUGCUCUCAAAAGCUGACCGAAACAUCUCAGCUUUCUUACGAGCACAAGAGCUGAGAAGUCAUAGCCUCCCUCUGCUCACGCAAGCUGCCGCUCACGUGGCGGCCCCCCAUGCUGCAGCCUCUGCUCCGACCAUGUUCCUGGGGAGUCCUUGAGGAUUUUCUUCCUUGUGUGCACCCUAAAAGCAAAGUCUGCCUCGUUAGAUUAUAGUUGAAAAAUUGCAGCCAGAUGGUCAAUCAUCAGCUUCGGCAACCAAAGGAGCGGAGAUAUUUUAGGUUCAAGGGUUUCCCAUUAUGUAAUGGCACAGACACAGAGGCGGCUGUGGAAGAGCUGGUUUCUUAUUUCUUUGGUUUUACUAAUCAUGAGGGAUUUACUAUUAUUUUUUUGCACAUUGCAGGUUUUUGAAAUUGGCAGGAUCCACCCUUAGAGGCUCGUUACUGUUUUCAGCGAGAAGAGGGGCAAAUAAGUCUUUGAUUUUAUCCUUGUAAGUGACAGCUGCUCAGACAGACGCAUCCCCCAGGCCUGCCCAAGGGAUUGCUCCCUGCUGGCCCUUUCAGGUGUGUUGCAUUACAGGGGGAUGUAUCACAUUGUGAUUAGGGAUAGAGCUCUGCAAGUGACCUCGGAGGAACUGAAAAGCUGAUGCUGACCUUGCAGUCUUCAUCAGAGGAGCAUCUUGGCACCCAGUGUGGAAAUGGGAGACUGUGGCUUCUCCCUUGGCUGAUGUGGUUAACCUUCAGCAAUUGUGGCUAAAAUCUGGCAGCGGUGGAUGAGGAGUGUGGAUCAGAGCUGAGAGCAAGGACUGGUCUCUAACCUAAAACUGGAGGCUUCCCGAGGGCCAGAGCCAGGGCCGAGCGAGAACCACGCGGCAUCUCCGGCAACGGCGUCUCCGGCAGCGGCGACGGCGGCUCCCCAGCGCGUGCAAAGCGGGAGCGCGAGACGAGGUGCAGGCGUUUGGGAGGGGGGGUGGGUUGGCGAAGCCCCCACCCCGUGACCCAGGGCCCCAUCCCGGCUGCGGGCGGUAGCGCGGAGCGAGGCGGUGCGGGAUGGCGGUGCGGCUGGCGGUGAGUUGGCGAGGCGGGGGUUUGCCACCACCCCGGUGUGCUUGUCCCCUGCCGUGUGCCGGGAGGGGGCCCAUCAGCUCAGCCUGCUGGGGGGGGCAUGUUUGGGGGGGUGUGGGGGGGUGUGUGUUUUGCUCUCUUGGCUCUGGAAGCACCGGGUGCACCCCCCAUCCCAGCUGUGGGCCCUACCUGGCGUGUCCGCAGCGGCACCACUUGACCUUACAGCAUUAAAAUCAUUAA